GACGAACGCUGGCGGCGUGCUUAACACAUGCAAGUCGAACGGUGACGAGGAGCUUGCUCCUCCGAUCAGUGGCGAACGGGUGAGUAACACGUGAGUAACCUGCCCCAGACUCUGGAAUAACAGUUGGAAACAGCUGCUAAUACCGGAUACGAGACGGAGAGGCAUCUCUACCGUCUGGAAAGUUUUUCGGUCUGGGAUGGACUCGCGGCCUAUCAGCUUGUUGGUGAGGUAAUGGCUCACCAAGGCGACGACGGGUAGCCGGCCUGAGAGGGCGACCGGCCACACUGGGACUGAGACACGGCCCAGACUCCUACGGGAGGCAGCAGUGGGGAAUAUUGCACAAUGGGCGAAAGCCUGAUGCAGCAACGCCGCGUGAGGGAUGACGGCCUCGGUUGUAACCUACUUCUAGUAGGAAGAAGAGAAGUAGACGUACGUACAGAAGAAGACACGCGACUAACGUGCACGCAGCCGCGGUAAGUAGUACUACU
rnacentral:rRNA from 1 species